rnacentral:rRNA from 1 species
UUGAACGCUGGCGGCAGGCCUCACACAUGCAAGUCGAACGGUAACAGGAAACAGCUUGCUGUUUCGCUGACGAGUGGCGGACGGGUGAGUAAUGUCUGGGAAACUGCCUGAUGGAGGGGGAUAACUACUGGAAACGGUAGCUAAUACCGCAUAACGUCGCAAGACCAAAGAGGGGGACCUUCGGGCCUCUUGCCAUCGGAUGUGCCCAGAUGGGAUUAGCUAGUAGGUGGGGUAACGGCUCACCUAGGCGACGAUCCCUAGCUGGUCUGAGAGGAUGACCAGCCACACUGGAACUGAGACACGGUCCAGACUCCUACGGGAGGCAGCAGUGGGGAAUAUUGCACAAUGGGCGCAAGCCUGAUGCAGCCAUGCCGCGUGUAUGAAGAAGGCCUUCGGGUUGUAAAGUACUUUCAGCGGGGAGGAAGGGAGUAAAGUUAAUACCUUUACUCAUUGACGUUACCCGCAGAAGAAGCACCGGCUAACUCCGUG